ensembl:miRNA mir193a-2 microRNA 193a-2
GAUGAUGGUGAGUGCCAGAGGCUGGGUCUUUGCGGGCAAGGUGAGUCCUCCAUUCAUUCAACUGGCCUACAAAGUCCCAGUUUCUGACUCAUGUGACC